rnacentral:rRNA from 1 species
AUGGCGCAUUUCUGGAGUGUCGCGGCGGCCGAGCUCACCGGCAGCCACCUCGACGAGGUCAAGCGCAUGGUGGCGCGAUUCCGUGGGCCUGUCGUCAGGAUCCUGGGGGCCGGCCUCAGCUUCGGCCAGGUGGCUGCCGUUGCACACGCCAAGGACGCGGCCAGCGUCACCGUCGAGCUCGCCAACGAGGCGCGCGUCCGCGUCCAGGCCUGCAGCGACUGGAUCGUCGACUCGGUGGCAAACGGAGGUGACAUCUACGGCGUCACCACGGGCUUUGGUGGCACCUCCCACCGUCGCACAAAAGAUGGGCACGGCCUCCAGGUCGAGCUUGUCAGGCAUCUCAUUGCUGGCAUAUUCGGCACCGGCAGCGACCACGAGCUGCCAUCCGAGGUUACACGUGCAUCCAUGCUCGUGCACAUUAACACCCUCCUUCAGGGAUUUUCCGGCAUACGCUUCGAGAUCCUCGAGGCCAUCACAAAGCUCAUCAACAAAGGAGUACCCCCGAGGAUUCCCCUCCGGGGCAGCAUCACCGCGAGUGGCGACGUGGUCCCUCUUGCUUACAUUGCCGGUGUCCUUACUGGACGCCCCAAUGCAGAGGCACUUACCCACGAUGGUAGGAAGGUGGACGCCGCCGAGGCAUUCAAGAUCGCUGGGAUAGAUGGUGGCUUCUUCAAGCUGAACCCCAAGGAGGGGUUGGCCAUUGUGAAUGGCACGGCUGCGGCCGCCGCCCUUGCAGCCAUGGUGUUGUUCGAUUGCAACAUCUUCGCCGUCCUAUCUGAGGUUUUUUCCGCAAUGUUUUGUGAGGUAAUGUAUGGCAAAUCAGAGUUUGCCGACCAUCUAAUCCACAAGCUGAAACAUCACCCUGGCACAAUUGAGGCCGCGGCUAUCAUGGAGCACAUCCUGGCUGGCAGCCCGUUCAUGGUCUAUGGCAAGAUGGUGAACGACAUGGACCCACACCUCAAGCCAAAACAGGACAGAUAUGCGAUCCGCACCGCACCACAGUGGCUCGGCCCGCAGAUCGAGGUCAUUCGGGCGGCUACCAAGUGUAUCGAGCGUGAGGUGAACUCUAUGAGUGACAAUCCAGUCAUUGAUGUGCACCGUGGCAUAGCACUCCAUGGUGGUAACUUCCAGGGAACACCCAUCGGCGUGUCCAUGGACAACACCCGCCUUGCCAUCGCCAGCAUUGGGAAGCUCAUGUUCGCGCAGUUCUCUGAGCUCGUGAAUGAGUUCUACAACAAUGGCAUGACGUCAAACCUGGCUGGCAGUCGGGACCCGAGCUUAGACUAUGGUCUGAAAGGCAUUGAGAUCGCCAUGGCCGCCUAUUGCUCGGAGCUCCAGUACCUUGCCAACCCGGUGACAACCCAUGUCCAAAGCGCCGAGCAGCACAACCAGGGGGUGAACUCACUCGGCCUUGUCUCAGCCAGGAAGACUGCGGAGGCGGUGGAGAUACUGAAGCUCAUGUCCUCGACGUACCUGGUGGCACUUUGCCAGGCCGUCGACCUUCGCCACCUGGAGCAAAACAUCAAAAUCUUUGUCAACAGAUGUGUGGUGCAAGCUGCUAAGAAAGUGGUCGACGCCACCAGUGUUGAGAAGAAGCUCGCGGCCGCCGUCGACCGCGUGGACGUUUUCAGGUACGCUGACAACCCAUGCAGCGCCAACUACCCCCUGAUGCACAAGCUGCGCAGUGUGCUCCUCGAGCACGCUCUUGCUAGCAGGAGCACUGACGACGAGGUGUUGUCCAAGAUCAGUAAGCUGGAGGAGGAGCUAGUGAUAGCGUUGCCACGGGAGGUCGAAGCGGCGCGUGUGGCCGUGGAGAUGGGCAGUGCACCCAUCUCAAACAUGAUCAGGGGGAGCAGGUCAUUCCCGCUCUAUCAGUUUGUUCGUGAGGAACUCGGAUGCGUGUUUCUGACCGGGGAGAAGCUUCUCGCACCCGGCGAAGAGUGUGACAAGGUGUUCGUGGGGAUCAGCCAAGGCAAGCUCAUCGACCCCAUGCUUGAGUGCCUGAAAGAGUGGAACGGUGAGCCUCUGCCCAUCAACUGA